GUGCUCUCUUCGGCAGCACAUAUACUAAAAUUGGAACGAUACAGAGAAGAUUGGCAUGGUCCCUGUGCAAGUGUGUGUUUUCAAAAGGCCCGCGGCACUCUAUCUCU